GUCCUGUGUCCUCUUCCUGCUGCUGGCUUAAGAGCCUGUCAACCACUGCAGCACCCAGCUGUGCUGGCUGCGACCAUAACUCACGCAAACUGCCAAGUGCUGUUCUGCUUAAUGUGACAGAUCCUUCCGUGAUAGCGGCACUACAGCCAGCCCUGAGUGCUGCCAUCUGCACCAGGCGACGCUGUGACCUAUAUGAAUGGAGAGCUGCUUUUUGCUACUUUUGCUGACACAGUCAUCGCUUAUCUGCAUAUCUUCCUUUUAAUCACGACCUGAUGGCAUUUCCCAUGUAGCUAAGGUAAUGCUCGGAGGCUGGCUGUUCCGAACGCGCACAAGGGUGCUCUGAAUCAGCUGCUUCUGAAACGCUGCGACUGACGGGGGCACAAAACCCAUCGUGAUGCGCAUUUGUAGGAACUUGAACAGUUUUCCCUGUAACACCUCAUUUUUUCUCCUUAGGCAUAGGAGCUUAUUGACGGAAGUCAUUUCUCUGAUAUUCUGUGCUCCUAAACCUAAAGUUUGAUCUGGCCCUCCCCAAACUGCUGUUGCUCGCCAGGUGACAGCGGGUGGUGCGUUGAGGUACCUCCACGAGUCACGGAGAGUGAGCCUGGGUGCCACAACCAGGAUCGAGGACACGUGUGGGAUGAGAACAGGGGGCUGUAUGCUUGUGUCGGAGGCUGCCACCGAGCCUGAGCUGCGCUUGGGUCCGUACUUCGGGAAGUGUCAGUGGUGCACCUAGCUCUGUGCUGGGCACGGCCUUGGCAGCGCCUCAAGCACUCCACUUCUCUGUUGACAUGCGUUACAGCUGGGGCCUGUCUCGUGUGUUGUCCUCCUAACGCGAGGAGCACCUGGUCUCGCAAACAGAAGCAGCUUGAUUUCUGUGCGUGCUGCUGACCAAGUCGUUCUGCAGUCCGAUGUCCAAGUCCUGGGGUCUGCCUCGACCCGCAGCACCUUACCUCAAAACCACUUUCGAGUAAAUCGGCGCGGCCACAGCUAAACGGGCAGGCGGGCUCGGCCUUUCGCCGGCUCCCCUCUCCCCUCAGGGCACCGAG